rnacentral:tRNA from 1 species
GGUAGAGCAGCGGUCUCCAAAACCGCGUGUCCCGAGUUCGAUUCUUGGUGCCCCUGCCA